AGCCCGAUGCGGGGCUCGAACCCGCGACAGCCAGAUUAAGAGUCUGGUGGCUCUAAACCGACUGAGGCUACACCGGGC